CGAGAAGACCCCAUGGAACUUUAAACUAGUACCACCCGUCCUACAACUAUACCACACCAACGACACAACAUGACUACUAGUCUUUCGGCUGGGGCGGCCACGGAGAAAAAUAAAACCCCCGAGACGAAAGGGAACACCCCUUAUCCAAGAACCACUAUUCCAAGAAUCAACAGAUGACACCACUGACCCAACACUUGAUCAACGAACCAAGCUACCCUGGGGAUAACAGCGCAAUCCAUUUCAAGAGACCUCAUCGACAAAUGGGCUUACGACCUCGAUGUUGGAUCAGGGUAUCCCGGUGGUGCAGCCGCUACCAAAGGUUCGUUUGUUCAACGAUUAAAACCCU
rnacentral:rRNA from 1 species